rnacentral:rRNA from 1 species
CGGAUUGAUUGGGCGUAAAGCGCACGUAGGCGGGUUUUUAUGUCGAAUGUGAAAGCCCUGGGCUUAACCUGGGAAUUGCAUCCGAAACUAUAGAUCUUGAAUGCUUAAGAGGUUGGUGGAAUGUCUGGUGUAGGAGUGAAAUCCGUAGAUAUCAGAUGGAAUAUCGGAGGCGAAGGCGGCCGACUGGUGAUGCAUUGACGCUGAGGUGCGAAAGUGCGGGGAGCAAACAGG